GGAACUCAAAUGAGGCCUUGUUUGGGGUAGGUCAGCGGGGGUUCGCGUGGGGGGCAUCCCAGGCUAGGUGGAAGGCGUCUCUGGAGACUCAGUGCUGAGUGCUGCAGCCUGUAGGGGCCGUGGGGCCGUGGGUCAGCCUCUGGCCGCUCACAGAGCCUCCUCCCUGGCUCCCAGUGGGGCCUUGCAGCUGCUUUGCCGAUAAGGGCCAGGCCCCGGGCCCCUGGACUCCCUCAUAACAUGGGUCAUGAUGGCUGAAACGGAAUCCAUCACUUGAGCAGGGCAAUUUCCUUUUCAAAGUCACCACUUUAUUGGGCAGGGAUUUGUUUCAUGCUCGCUCGCUUUUUAACAGUCAUUUUCACCAAUGAUAUAGUUACUCAUAAAGAAAAGAUAAAUUCCCUACCCUUCAGAGCACUUUAAAAAAGAGGGGGAGAGGGAGUGGGGGUGGACUGCAAUGGCCGCUUUGCAAAGUGGUAAGAGACAAAUUCUUUGGAAUCAAUUGUUUUCUCCUGAGAAAUUGAUUCUGACAUUGACAUGGUAGAUUUAUCUGUGAUUUCCAGCAGUUUCCUUUAUGAGGACCAGAUUGUCUAAUUAUCCAUUCAUUUUGUGUUUGGUUCUUGACAUAACGUUAUGAGACUCCUUUUUUCCAGAAAGAAAACUUCAAUCUGGUAGGUAAGGUGCUAACACCACAAGACUUUCUUACUAUGCAGAUGUUCUAGUGGCUGAGAUCUGGGGUUGGCAAGCUUUCUUUAAAGCGCAGGCAUUUUCUGCACAGAUAGUAAAUGUUUUUGGCUUUGCAGGCCAUGCAGUCUCUGUCGUCACCACUCAGCCCUACCCCUUGUAUUGCAGAAGCAGCCACAGAUAUUAUAGAAACGCAUGGAUGCACGGUGUUCCUAUAACAUAAAACUUUAUUAUGGACACUGACAUUUGAUUUUUCUUUAAUUUUCACAUGUUGUGAACUACUAUUCUUUUGAUUUUUCCCCCCCAAACAUUAAAAAAUGUGAGAACCAUUCUUAGCUCAUACCAAAGUAGGCAGGACUGGGCUAUGGUUUGCUGACUCCACCUUAGGCGAAAGUUGCGAUUUAGAGAUGAGUCUGCUCUAGAAAUUAUGAAACCCCAGACCUGGAGGAGACCUGAGGCUUCUAGUCCAGUCUCCUUGUUCUACCAGAGAGAAAACUGAGGCAGAGAGUGGUUAUGUAGCUUAUCUAAGGUUACUCUUUGAGUGAGUGACACACCCCUACUGUCCAAGAAAGUGUGGGAUCAGAUCACUUUACUGGUGUGUGUGUGCGUGCGUGCAUGCACACGCAUGUGUAGGUUUGGUGCAGUGGGGAGUGCAUGGGGGGGUGGUGUGUCAUCUUUCAAAUUGUGAUUUAUUUAGUAUAUUUUUUUGAGACAAACAAUGAGUCAAAAUACAGAGAAACCUAUUGGAAUCUUGACUGGUGGGAGAGGCUGAUGAAUGGGGAACAGAACUUGGAAAGGCUGAUGAAUGGGGAACAGAACUUGGAAAAGACGUUGAUGGCUGCCUUUUAGAGCAUUACAGAGCUGCCAGGCAGAGCAGAGCACUAAAUAGAUUUUUUCACUCCCUAAAAGGCCACUCUAUUUCUGUGAUUGGCUUUUAGACAGCCGACAGACAGGAUCUUAUCACAGAGGCACAGGGAUAUGUUGGGAGAGAGAUUUGAGUUGAGGAAUCCAGAUACCUGCAUCCUAAUUCUUUUUAGACCACCUAGUGCCCGUUGCAGAGCUCUUGGGGCCUUCCUACAGAAUUGAAAUUCACAGGUGACAGUAAAGACACUGCUGCAGACCAUAGUUGACUCUGAGACGGACUCAGCAUUUGGACCUUCAAGCCAAAAUAUUCCAAGAGACCUCUCUGCUGUGUAUUAAUGUCAUAAUACAGACAUCAAUCUUGGCUCUCCUCUUCCCUAAAACCAAUGAACGAACUAAUGAAUUCUCAUCAACAUUUGUGGGUUUAAUAGAAGCAAGGAGUCAAUGUAAGUGUGAAUUUUCUGGUCUCUUAGUUGUUUCAAGCAACUACCCAAACAUCCCUCAUUGAAUUCGCAGCAAGACUAAAACUAGGAGAAGGCAGCUGAGGCUUUUAAUUCUGCAUUGUAGGUGCCUCACUCUAGUCCCUCCCCGAUUAGCAGAAUCUUCAAGUUGACAGCCCCCAAAAUCCUGAAGCCACUAAUUAGGAGGAUGUCAUGGCCAAGAUCAGGCAACUGGAGUCUGUGUGUGUGUGACUCUCUCUCUUCAUAUCCUUGUCCUUUGUGAUGAAAUCCUGUAUAUCUGAUGUCUAAAAGCCAAUCACAGAAAUAGAAUGGCCUUUUAAGGAGGAAAAUUAUUUAGUGCUCUGGCCCUGACAAGCCACUGGAACUUGGGAAACUUCUAGCAUCCCCAGCCUCACCUAUUUUUUCUCUUCUUGCGUUUUCGCUCCCUCACUGGGGCACUGUGUGAAUAGAUGAGAUAAUAAACCAGGUUUUCUGAGUUCAUAAAUUACUCCCUGGGAAUCAUUUAUAUUGCACAUACACUUUCCGGCCACCGGGGUCCUAUUUGCUAAAUUACUGGCCUCCUGCUGUGCUUUAAGUGGGACCCCAGUGACCUGAAAGAGUUAAUGCCUCCCUCCAAGCAAUUCACUGACUCCUGGGGCAUAAUUUACCCUCAGACAGGACCUGGCUGACCAUAUGUGGAGUGCUUGGAGCUCUUUGAGAGGAAGUUGGCUCUAGAAAUGCAAGGAAUUAAUAUUACAAAAGGCGCAUUUGCAGGCCAUUCCUCAAGGAAUCCAUCGUGUAGGUUUCCCCAGAACAAUUCUGUAAGGUGGGCCCUUAUUACCCUUUCCAGAGACAUCCUCUAGCCAAUGGGAGAUCAGUGCAUAAUAUACCCAACGUGGGGUUAGGGAGUAGCAUAUUUGUAGGAUGACUUUACCAUUUGAAAAAUAAUGGGUGAAAGAUUGGGAAGUACAUUUUAGAAACUUGAGUAAAAAACAAAAGCUGAAAGUAAGGUAAAUGUAAUAGAGUAUCUGCUUUAUAAGGUUGAAUGGUAGGAAUAUGACAAUAUGAUAGAUCAAUUUUUUUUAUACAGAUGCAGGAGCACUUACAUAUUCAAAUGCAUCAAAAUGGUCACCUGAGGAGACUGCCUGCGUGUCCUAAUAUGCAGCUGUUGCUUAAAAUAGUUUAUGCUCUGUGAAUGGAUUUGUUCAUUCAUUCAACAGAUAUCAUGUAGACAUCUCCCUUCAUAAGGUCCUGUGUUGGCCAUUGCCAAGGGACAUAAAAAGGCAGGAGAUAGUAUCGCUAUAUUCAGUACUGGCAAUUGUCUGGGUGAGUUUAAUUUGGGGCAAAGACUAAACCAGCUGAAAUAAAUUUAAUGGAAAAAGUGGGUAAAAACCAAGAGAAGGUAAUUUAGAGACUGCCCUUCUGGUAUGGCUUGGUAAGUUGCAAUGAUGGGCUCAGUUCUUACCCCUUCUCUGUAUCCAUGCUCUUUACCAUGUGACUUUGCCAUGUGACUUUGCAGACCCUCUUAUUUAAAAGGUGACUUGUCUUGGCCAGUGGGAAGCAGUGGUAGUGAGGAUGUGCUGCCUUUGAACCUAUGACCCAAGAGGCUAACAUGUUUCCAUUUUCUUUCUGGAGCCUCUACCAUUACCAUGAGAACAUGCUUGGGCUGUCCUGACCCAGGAUGAGAGUCACAUGGAGCAGAGUAGUGUUCCAUUGGUCACAGCCAAGGUCAGCUUAGAUCAGCAGAGAGCCAGCUGACACCCCCGCCCCCCUUCAGACAUCUAUGUGAGUCUAGCAAAGAUCAGCAGAGUUGCCUUUCUGACCACCCUGGAUAGAUGAGCAGUGUAUACUUCUUGUAUGUUGCUGGGGUUUUGUGGUUGUUACACAGCACAGUUACAGCAGUGGAUAACUGAUACAGCUUGUAACUGAUUCCAAAAGAGGAACUCCCCAUGUUGAACAAGGACAACGUCCCUGGAACAAGUGGUGUCUCCAGGCGAUUGCUGGGGAGCUGUAACAUACAUUUGGGGAUAUAUGCCCCGGUGUUCACUGGGCAUCCUUCCUCUGUUCCUACUGUACUUCAUGCUCAUUGUAUGCGAUUGCUUGUAUGAUGCCAAAUGUUCUGCAAGGGCAGGGGUCCCUUCUUUUAUUUUUGCAUCUUUAGCAUCUAAAUUGUAUGUGUUGAGGGAAAGUGAGGAAUUUCAUUAGAAGUCGUAACUUGCAUUGUGUGCUUUUAGUAACUGAUCUAUUCACAAUAUGUAUUUGGUGUGUCAUAUGUAAUCGUAAAAUCUUAAUGACUCGAUUAUACAUGCACAUGUUACACCUUCAAAAGAUGCAAAGGGAUUUUUAGUGACAAGUGAUCCCUUUUCUCGUGCUAUCUUCAAGCCAUCCACUUCCCGGGUAACACAAUUAGUAAAAUCUUACCAGUUCUUCUAGAGAAUGUAAAGUCAUUAAAGCGAAGCUUUUGUCUAGGAAAGAAAGAACAUUUUUAACCAUUAUAUUUUAAAAGUCUGCCCAGUUUACAGUCUCUUCUCUUUUGCAUCCAAGAGGUUGGGCCUCUUGCAUGUAGCCCUUGGGUUCUUUGCUAGAAUGAUGGGAGAGCUCUCCCCCCACUCCAAGUUUGUUCCUUUUUGAUUCAGCAGCUUUCCCUCAGCUGUGGUGAGGUUUGCACACGGCUGGAAUUAACGCAGCUGUUUGUGUUUACUUCUUUGCCUGUGAGCUUCUAUCACGAGAUGUCAGCCCAGCUCCGGGAGCUGGGUAAUUACUACGGAGCCGGGCCGCAGAGGGAGCAGAUAACCUCAGAACACCAAAUUCUCUGGGGGACAGGGAGCCCGGAGUUCUGAAGCCCCAAAAAAGAAUCUGUCAUCAUGGAGAACCCAAGCCUCCAUCUGAUGAUAGUAAGGAUCAUUGGCAGGAUUAAAUGAAGUAAUGGAUAGGGAAGUGUUUGAAGAGUGAAGGGCUAUGCUCAGGUUUCCAGGCUGUCUUCAAGGAGUACACCAUUGACUCUGAAGCUGGCUGGUGUGUGGACAGAUGCGUUACAGGCCAUUCCCAAAAUGCUUCUAUGAAAAAGACUUCUAGAAGAAAUGGACUUUCCAGUAGGAAAGCCUCAGUUCUCACGGCUUUGCAACUGGGUUACCCGGUUCCAGAAGGACAGAAGACCAGCCCGGAGGGGAGGACAGUCGGACAGGGCCGGACGCCACCCCUGGCAGGCAGGCCGGUCAUUAGUGCCGCCCCUGAGGUCAUUCAAGGUUGUGGGGUUCUUCUGGAGCCUCUGAACCUGGUGGACUCUUUGUGGCUGGAUGAAAAGGAACAACUGUCUGUGUUCAUCCUGAUGAAAAUUAGCAGCAGUUCACUCGAGCUUAAUUGCCGGAGUCUACAGCUGCGACAGUAAGUAUAUUUUCAUUCAUCUA